GCGUCGCUCACGCUGGGAGCUGUAGACCGGAGCUGUUCCUAUUCAGCCAUCUUGGCUCCUCCCCUGACUGAUGUCCUCCUUAUAGGAAUGGGAAAUUCAGAUGCAGACAGGUGCUGAAGACCAUGUGAAGGCACAGGGAGGAGGUGGCCAUCUGCAAGCCAAGGAGAGAAGCCUCAGAAGAAACCAACCCUGCCAACACCGUGACCUCAGACUCCAGCCCCCAGAACUAUUCCAUAGAAUGUUCCCUGUUUCUUCAUCUAUGACAUGGGGAUAAUGUGAGUAUACCUACAUCAGAGGGCUGCGAUGAAGACUAAAUAAGCCCCAGAGGUUACUGACAGACCAAAAUAUCCUGACAACCCCGGAAUGCCAGAAGGAGAGAAGGGGUUUGUAAAUCUGAGGACCUUGACUACUUUUGGUCAAGGGCAUUUGACCUGUUGAUACACCUAUUGCUUUUCCAGCAAGCCCUACAUCUUUCUAGUAAGGAGUCAAUGCACCAAAGCUGGAGGCCACUGGAGGUGACUCCAGUCACCAUUUUUCAACUUCUCCUAGAAAUGUCUCUUUGGUUUCUUCAGGCUUUGACUUGGGUGACUAUGGAGAACGUGACAUGGGAAGUUAAAAAGCAACAAGAAGUCUUUUAAAAAGUUUGAAUUACAUUGAACAUAUGUCUGAAAUGUAAGAAGGGGUAAGCCCUCUUUCUUACCAUCCUUCCUGACCAUGACCCCUGGGAGUCAGAUAUCCCAGGCACAGCUUAGCUUUCUAACCCUGCUGUGUUGCCCUCCAUGAUCUCUCCGAAUUUCUCUCCCUUUCCUCCCUUUACACUAAAAAUGCUCUAGUUCUGGCCUUCCUCAUCUCGUUAAUAAUUAAGCUGGCUGACUUAACUCCCUGCCUUCUGGUUGCCCUCUUCAAUCUGUCCUUGUCUCUGUCAGCAGCAGCAUCGUCCUGCUCAAAACCACAAAGACCUCCUACUGUGGAAAGACAGGUAUUCAGAAUCCACAUCGCACGUCUAGAUCCCCUGUGAUGUGCCCUGAAACAACCUCCACUGUCUUAGCUUUUACUAACAUCUUCCAUAAUUUCCAGGCCCAGCAGGCCUGAUCUUGUGCUCAACUUCCCCAACUUAGUCUCCUCCUUCUGUCAGAAAUAGCCUUUCUCUAUCUCCACCUGAGAUUAAUGUAUCCUGGAGAGUCUAUCUCUCUUUUCAGUGUCCAUAUCAAGGGCCGGCUCCUCCAGAAAGCCUUUCUAUACCUUCAACCUCCAACCUCAUAUCUCAUCAUUAGAAAAGAUCACGUUCUCAUUAGAAGCCCAAACCUCAGUAUCACAUAAUAUGCCCAUCUAACAAACCUGCACAUGUACACCCUGAACCUAAAAAAAAAUAAAAUAAAACAAAAAAAGAAAAGAAAAUAUACACUGAUGAGAAAAAAAAGGAUCAAAUCCAACUUUAAGUUCCUGAGUCUAACUUUCUAACUUUAUUUUAGUGCCUCCCAGAAUUAUCUGUGUUUGUGUCCACAUUAACCAUUGGCUGGGAUCAUCAUAAGUGAAUCACCAUGUUCCCCAAACCAAAAACUGCCCUGGCACACAGGAAGCUUACGUUAGUGUCUUAGUAUGGCAUAUAUGUAUACACACACUGUACACAUGAACACAUAUCUAUGUGAUGUUUCCAAACAUAGAUAUGUGUUCAUAUCCAAAGACAGUUGUCUUUGAAAGUAAACACAAUAAACUCGGAUAAACUUCUGGAACAUGGGGAUAGGAGGGUGGGAUGAAAGAAAGCAUUUAGUAAAUUUACAUUUCUUUAUGUAUUUCUUGACUCUUAAAAUCAAUAUAUCAUAAUUUAAUAACAUAAUUUAUUAAAAUGAAAAAUAAAAUAAUUCAUGUUAAUUGUAGAAUACAUACAUCUGUAAAGAAGAAUGACAAACAGGAAUAAUUUCCAGAGACUCACAAUCUACAUACAUUCUAUUUAUGUGAUUAGAUCCAUGUUAUUCUUAUGUUUCCUUUUUGCCAGUUAGCAUUGUAUGGAGAGUACUUCUCCAUUUUCUAUCAUUGGGUGUAUGAAUUGUUAACCACUUUGGAAUACUGCAAAUAAUCAUAUAAUGAAUAUACAUAUACUUAAAUCUUUGUGUGCAUUUGUUAUUAUUUACUAGGUUAGAUUCUUAGAAAUAGAACCACUGACUUGAAGGGAAUAUUAUCAUUUAAGGUUUUAAUCCAUGUUGCCAAAAUGUUUGUAAGAAAGUAUCCAUCUCACAAUACCCACAUCAGAACCAGGUAUUACAAUUUUUAAAACCUCCCAAACAUUUUCUUUUUCUUUCUUUUUUUUCUUUUCUUUUUUUUUUGAGACAGAGUCUCACUCCGUUUCUCAGGCUGGAGUACAGUGGCAGUGACUGCAACCUACGCACCCCCCAGGUUCAAGCGAUUCUCCUGCCUCAACCUCACGAGUAGCUGGGAUUACAGGCACCUGCCACCAUGACCCGCUAAUUUUUUUGUGUUUUAACUAGAGACAGAGUUUCACCAUGUUGGCCGGGGUGGUCUUCAACUCCUGAUGUCAAGUGAUGCGCCCACUUCUGCCUCCCAAAAUGCUGGGAUUACAGGCUUGAGCCACAGCGCCCAGCCCUAACAUUUUUUUUUUUAUGGAUUCUCCCUUUGCUUUUAUAAUGAGGGCACCUCUACCCUGAGAUGAAUCAGAUGCAUUAUUGUUUUUUGUCAAUUCUUUUACUACUUCUUCUUUAAUAUUUGAAUUUUUGAUCAAUUUAAAUCAAAUUAGGUAAAUUUUAUGAGGUAAGGGAGGAGACAUUUGCCUUGUUAUAAUUCCUGUAUAUUUAACCAAUCAUCCAUGUCAUAUUUAUUUAAUAAUCCUUCCCCACACUUUAAAUAAUUUGUAGUCUUAUUUUUGUUCUGUGUUUGAAUUACCAUAGCUGUAUAGUAUGAUUUGACAUCUGAUAGGGUAGAUUUCACCUUUUUAAUUAUUUAUUUUAUAUUCUGGGGUCAUUCUCAGCAUUUAUUUUGUCUAAAUGAAACGUAAACAGGCUGUCAAGUUUUCAACACAGAUCCAAGUGGAAUUAAACAUUUUUUUUCUUACGAAUAUUUGGGGACUUCAUUCCUUUCUUCCUUUUUUUUCUCUUCCUCCUCCCCUCCCUCCUUCUCCUCCUUCUUAUUCUAUUCUUCUCUCUCUUUUUCAUUCUCUUCUCCUUCCUUCCCUUCCUUUCCUUCUCAACUUCAUCUUCUUCGUUUCUCCAUCAUUAUCAUUUUCUGUUUAUUGAUUACACUUAAAUAAUAACUAUUUCAUAGAGAAAAUUAAAACUAGACAUAGUGAUCAAAUGUUGACAUGUUGUUUUUUGUGUCAAAUAUUCAAAUAUUUUUAAAUUGACAUCUAAAAGUUUAUAGAAACAGGCACAUUCCUCCACCAGAAUUUCCCUCUACUCUCAAAAGUAACCACCAUUAUAAAAUGCUGCACUGUCAGCAAACCACCAUGGCACAUGUAUACCUAUGUAACAAACCUGCACGUUCUGCACAUGUAUCCCAAAACUUAAAGUAUAACAAUAAUAAUAAUGCUGCACUGUCUUUUUUGUGUUGUUUUGUGCAUUUUUAACCUCUAAUUUCACAGCAUACUUAUUUGUCCAUAACUAUAUAUAUAGUGUUUUGCAUAUUUAAAACUUUUGUACAAAAUGUGUCAGAGUGAACAUGUUCUUUUGCAAUUUCAUUUAUUUUGGUCAACAAUAUGUGACUUUUCUUCAUGAACAUCCUGCAUAUUCCUUGUUUCAUUUAUCCUUGGUUAUUUAGAACAUUUCUUCUAUUUUAAUGCUAACUUCAAUUGACUCAAAUUUUGUUGACGGCUUGUGAGAUCAACCAAAAGCUAAAUGAAAUCAGUCUUCUGUGUGUGUGUUUGUUUUUAAUGCUUUCUAGAUUAGUCUGACAUGCACACCCAAUCGGAAAACACUAGCGCAGAAGAGGGAGAGCCUAAUAUCAGCAUUACCUAGGUAUUAGAAGAAUUUGGAUAUUAUUAUAUACACCUGGCAUGAUAGCUAGGACAGAACCUGUUCUGCCGGGAGAAGGCGCCUGCUCAGGGUUUCUCUUUCCCUACAUGGGAACCCCUGAAGGAGAGUCCUGCCUGUGAUCUUCAUUUAGAAGGCUAGUGCUGACCACUGCUUGGUUCUCAUCAAUCCAUCCUUGAGAUAUCCCCAAUCUCAUCUUAAAUCUGAAUUGAACCUGUCAUAUUAUAGCCUGGCUCUUCUCUCACCAACUAUUUGGGGGUAAUGUAGUGAUUCAUUUUGUUUCCACAUAUUAUUUUAAGUUCUUACUACCUCCUUCCCCCAUCUAGGUUCAGAUUUUCCCCUGCUUUUAACAUCUUGGUCCAGGCAGCUACAUUAUCAAACUGUACUAGGAUGGCAAAAUCAUUUUUUCACAUAUGCUAACCAUCAAUGAUUAGUGGUGAUUUUAUGGAAAAAUAUGUUGAGAAUAAUUUAGAGGAAAGAUUUGGGUUCAGAUAGAACUAUCUGCCAUUGGUAAGUAAAGUAAAGUGAUGUUGUCACUUAUUUUAUCCCAUCCAUGAUGAGAAUUGAUGUUUAUAAAACCUUUGACUAUACAAUGAGAGUAUUAAGCAAAAAACAAGUAACAAAAAUUAAAAAUAAAAUGCUUUUGUAAUCAAGGUCAGAGAGGAUAUUCUUUUACUUUUUCCAUUACAUUAUUCAUGUGUGCAUAAUGGUGUACAGUAUUACUUUCCAUGUGUAAAAAAGAAAUCAUACAAUAGAGUGCAUAGAGAAGUGGAGAAAUGGAGAAUAGUUCUCAAAGUUAUUUGAUCUGGCAGAUUAUCUUCCAAAGAUGAGUGCAACUGUAUUUUCCAUAUCACAGCCUCUUCUGGAAUAUUAAACUCUGCCCCCAUCAAGAGGUGGUGUCUGUGUCUGUUCUUGAAUUUGGGUGGGUCUUCCCGACUGCUUCAACCAAGAGAGUCCAGUAGAAAUGAUACUAUAUGAUUUUGGAGGUUAGAUCAAAAGACUGCCAUGCAUUUUAAUUUUGUUUUUUGAGGGUUGCUGUCUUUUAGAACCCAGCCAACAUACUGUGAUGAAGCCUAAACAACUGUGGAGAGGCUCACGUGGAGAGGAGUCAAUGCCCACUGAUCUAUAAGCCUUGGCUGAGCUCUGAGCCAACAGUCAUGAUCAACUUCCAGCCGUAUAAGUGAACCAUCUUGAAAGAGGCUUCACCAGCACCAAGUUGAGCAACUUGAUUAUGUUACCAAAGAUCACCUCCUUCCUAUCAUCUUCCGUCUGAGACUUGCUUAGAGUGAGUUUGGAAGCUGUGUUUUGCUCAUCCUGAAGACUGAACAUAAGAAAAUAUUGCUCAAGUUCUGGAUGAUGCAGCUGCUGAAAUAAUCUGUGGUGCACUUUCCUUCAGGAAUCCUUACCUAUUUUUUCAGGUGUUCCACAAGCCUUCUUAUCUUGGAAUUCAGUAAUACUUAUUGUGUGGUUGCUUACUGUUCCCUAGGCACCCUGAAGCAUUGAAGCUUUGAAGCUUUGUCUCAUGCUUUCAAGUAAUGUUCUCGUGUUUACCUGCUGAUAUUCCUUCAAAGUUAGAGGCUGCCUCUCUCCAAGUGUGGAAAAAAACAAUCAGAUGUCACUAAGAUAUUGUGUAACAAUUCAUAUUAAACACAUGAUCUUGUCAGUCAAGAAGAAGAGAUUAAAACAAACACCUUGAGAGUUCAUGAGUAGAAGUAUACAGCCCUGCAUUCAUGAUAAUAUGGUGCAUUUUACCUACCUUGCAGCAGAAAGAGAUAUCUAAUUCCAUACACAGCAAUGUAACUGUUUAAAGUGCUCCUAAAAUUCAGACAAAACAAAUUAUAAAUAGUAUCAAGAUCAAAGAAGCUGAAAGUCCCUAUGUUUGAUGUAGGCACAGCAAAGUUUGAUGUAUAUGCUCAUUUCUCAGCACUGCAAGUAUGGAGAAACCAUCAGAAAGCAUGCUGAAAAUAGAGAGGGCUUCUAAAACAGAAAGCUCCUGCCUGUUUUACUGAAGGCUACCAGAUUCUUUCUCAGAAAUUUUGUACAGUUCAGAGGCACAAAUGCUCUUUUAGGUCCUUUGAAGCACUGGGUUUAAUAUCGGAAUUUAAUCUUGGCUCUAGUCUCCAAUUCCUUACAUAGUCAUUCAAGCAAUCUUGGGGACCAAGUCUUCCAAUAGCAUAGUGAUAUUCAUGCCUGAAGUGGGAGGAAUAGAUAUCCUCCUCAUUAACAAGGGAUGAGAGAUCAUGUUUCAUAGGCAAAAUACUCAUGCAUGCAAAAAUGUAACUUUUCCAGUAAUUUUUUUAGUACUGAAAUUAGCUUAGCUCAUUAGCUCUCUCUUCUACCUAGUAGCAGGGAAUGCAGUUUUGCUAACCCAGGUGACUCAUUAUUUCUGUUUUCAAGUUUAGUUUAUUUUAGGUAAAUUUUUGAAUUCAUAAUGUUUUUCUGACCUUUCUUCUCUUCCAGAAGAGGUUAUUCUAACUUCUUAAUGGAUUUACUUUUGUAGUUGUUACUGUUAUAUAUAUAUAAUAG
rnacentral:lncRNA from 1 species